rnacentral:rRNA from 1 species
GACGAACGCUGGCGGCGUGCCUAAUACAUGCAAGUUGGGCGCUGAAGGUUGGUACUUGUACCAACUGGAUGAGCAGCGAACGGGUGAGUAACGCGUGGGGAAUCUGCCUUUGAGCGGGGGACAACAUUUGGAAACGAAUGCUAAUACCGCAUAAAAACUUUAAACACAAGUUUUAAGUUUGAAAGAUGCUAUUGCAUCACUCAAAGAUGAUCCCGCGUUGUAUUAGCUAGUUGGUGAGGUAAAGGCUCACCAAGGCGAUGAUACAUAGCCGACCUGAGAGGGUGAUCGGCCACAUUGGGACUGAGACACGGCCCAAACUCCUACGGGAGGCAGCAGUAGGGAAUCUUCGGCAAUGGACGAAAGUCUGACCGAGCAACGCCGCGUGAGUGAAGAAGGUUUUCGGAUCGUAAAACUCUGUUGGUAGAGAAGAACGUUGGUGAGAGUGGAAAGCUCAUCAAGUGACGGUAACUACCCAGAAAGGGACGGCUAACUACGUG